UACGGGGGGAGCAAGCGUUGUUCGGAUUUACUGGGCGUAAAGGGGCGCGUAGGCGGCGUGACAAGUCACUUGUGAAAUCUCCGGGCUUAACUCGGAACGGUCAAGUGAUACUGUCGUGCUAGAGUACAGAAGGGGCAACUGGAAUUCUCGGUGUAGCGGUGAAAUGCGUAGAUAUCGAGAGGAACACCUGCGGCGAAGGCGGGUUGCUGGGCUGAUACUGACGCUGAGGCGCGAAAGCUAGGGGAGCGAACGGG
rnacentral:rRNA from 1 species